UACAGCUGUUGCUGAUACAGAGACUCGUCACGUCCCCUCUGCCAGAGUGAAGAAGAAGAGCCAGGGCCGGAGGUUCAGUUGCUGCCCAAAUUUGCCAACGGUCAAGAUCAAGGUGUUCAAGAGCAGAGUGGAACCAAGAGCCAACCCGCUCAAAAGGAGCUGCCUUCGCAGCGUUUCAGCACCUCUCGAGUUGCGCUGGAUGAUGAUCAUGCUGUCCCAUUCAUUCCCCAACCUGAGGACGACCUGCCACCAGCACCUACACAGGAGUCCCGUAAACAUCCCCUGUUGGUCAGGUAUUCCGGGCCAUUUCGAAACCGUUCAAGGGCUGUGCUUUUAGCAAGAAGAAUUAGAAAGGUUUAGCCAUCACCAUCUAAUAAACAUAUUAGCAGCAUUGAUUUGUGUGUCUGCAGUCAUAUUUAAUAGACUCUCUUGACAUGGCAUUUUAGUCA